UAUAAGAGGAUAUUUAUCAGCUCAGAGUGCUUGGCUGUUGUCCGAGAUUCUGAAAAUAAAACCCCUUCAUAUUUAUAA
rnacentral:tRNA from 1 species